UACGAAAGGCAGCAGUGGGGAAUAUUGCACAAUGGGCGCAAGCCUGAUGCAGCCAUGCCGCGUGUAUGAAGAAGGCCUUCGGGUUGUAAAGUACUUUCAGUCGUGAGGAAGGUGUUAAGGUUAAUAACCUUAGCAAUUGACGUUAGCGACAGAAGAAGCACCGGCUAACUCCGUGCCAGCAGCCGCGGUAAUACGGAGGGUGCGAGCGUUAAUCGGAAUUACUGGGCGUAAAGGGCACGCAGGCGGUUAAUUAAGUUGGAUGUGAAAAUCCCCGGGCUUAACCUGGGAAUGGCAUUCAAGACUGGUUAGCUAGAGUCUUGUAGAGGGGGUAGGAAUUCCAUGUGUAGCGGUGAAAUGCGUAGAGAUGUGGAGGAAUACCGGUGGGCGAAAGGCGGGCCCCUGGACGAAAGAACUGACGCGUCAUAGUGCGAAAGACGUGGGGAGGGCAAAC
rnacentral:rRNA from 1 species